rnacentral:tRNA from 1 species
GGCGCGGUAGCAAAGUGGUAAUGCAUCGGUCUGCAAAACCGAUAUACGGCGGUUCAAUUCCGCCCCGCGCCU